AAGUCAAAUUCGGUUCUAUGAAUAGAUAUGAAGGUUUCCCUGAAAAGCGUGCAGUGUGCUGAGAAUCGUUCAAGUUGCUAAAAGAUAAAAAUGGGGAUGAAAACGUCACAGGUCUGGAUGCCAGCACAAACUGGCAAAGCUCGCAGGAGCCAAUGCAAAAGGUCGCCAGUGAGAACUGCAGCAAGGGAUCAGAGAGAGAUUAUUUCUGGUCUGAUGAGAGGAAUAAAUUGUUUGGAGAUGUCUGGAAUCUUGCAGUGAUAAUAUAACUGGAUCUUACUUGGUGGUUAAGCUGUUUAUUCUUGGAAGAGAGGGUGUUGUGUUCUCCUGCUGUGGACUCCAAAAUAUAGGUUAUGUCACAAUCCACUCAGGAUUUAUUCAACCAACAACAAAGGAAGACCAGGAUUAUCAUUUGCAUUAGAAAAACAUAAUUAUUAACAUAACUAUUAUUUAAAUGAAGUUUGUAAUAAAAACUAAAAAAAAACUAAAAUA